AAGCAGCACGGGAGGGAUGCGGGAAGCGGCACCGGGAAGCCCAUGCGGGGAGGUUCAUUAAAAAGCACCCUCCUCGUGUCAGCACAGCCGCCUCCGGUGCUGGGGGGGGCACAGCAGAGACACGGCCCCAGCCCUUGGCAGGGCAGCAAAGAGCAUCCCAGCCACCAGCCGGGCUGCAGCCAUCUGCCACCAGCAGCACCGCGGAGAGGAGCAGCCGAACCCCGGGGGUAUGGCUCGCCUUUUUUUUUUUUUUUUCUCCUCCUUUUUUCCUCCUGACAGCUCUUGCUUCCCUUGCUCAGCUGGCCCCGCUGCACCCCGGUGGGAUGGGGAGAGGGGAGAGCACCGGGAUGCGGCUCCAGAUCUCCACCAAGGUUUCGCAGUCAGAGCGGAGCGGCCCUGCAAAGCUGCCCCAAAACGUGCCCCGGUCUCACAGCACACAGCCAGGCCUACCCCAGCCAAACAAGAGGAGAAUCCUCGAGCACUAAAACAUCACCCCAGUGUCCUGCCAUCCCCCUCGGGCCACCAGCGUCCCCACUGGCAUCCCCAGCCUGACCACAGCACGCAGGAAACCAGCAGAAGCCCAGCCGCUGCCACCAGGGCGCCACUCACAGAAGUCCCCCGGGGUCACCGUGGGCAAGGAGCCCGAUGCCAACAGUAGUGGUGCUGGGGGGUGAGGGGGGGGAUUGUUUUCUCUCUUCAGCUGUCACCGAAGCCAUCAGUGUGGCUGUGUGUGAGUGAUUCACACCAGUGCAUGAAAAGCCGGUGACUCAGUCCUGGGUGCAGUGGGUGGGCGCAUUGACUCAGCCGCGCCAGGGGAGGGGGCGCAGGGAGCCCAGGGAGGGUCCUGCCGGCGGGGGUCAGGGGCAGCGCCGGCCGGGAGCUCCCCCCACGUGCUCAGAGCACAGGCGUCCCCAGCAGCAGGGGCGGCGGAGACGUCUGCACGGCGCCUGAAAUAGGUGCCAGGGCGCGACGGGGAGGGGUUUGUGCCGCCCUGUGCCACGGCGCAGAGGAGACCCCCAGGAUGAACGCGUCCCAAGCUGCUCUGAACAAACUUUCCGGGUUCUCCAGGACCUCCGAGGAGCAAGGAAAAAGUCAGGCAGGCAGCAGCGGAGCUCAGAGCCAGGGGACAGCCUGCAGCCACCACCAUCUCUCCACCUUCCAAACUCAGCCAAGGAUUCCCAGCCCUCUGCCACACCAGCACCAAGACCUGCCCCGUGCCACCUGGAGAGCACGGAGGGACACAAAAAGACACCUCGAGGGACCCAAAUCUUGGCCCCCGGCACCCUACUGCAUGCCAGCAGCACAACGCAGGCCCCUUGGGGAGGAGGAACGGAAGGGAACCCCUCCAAAACGCGUCCCCGUUUGGACGAUGCUCGGUCCCCGACUGCUCAGCGGGUGACAGCGACGCCCGGGUCCUGCCAACGAUGCCACCAGCAGCCAAGGCUGCAGGCUCGUGUCUCACCGCGCCGACAGCGCCUUCCGCAGCGCCGCGCCUCGUCUGCCAAGCAGCCCCGGCGGUGGAUCCGGACCAGGCGAGAGCGUCACCGCAUCCCACAGCAUCCUGAGCCGAGCCGCUGAGACCUCCCCAUCCGCAGCGCGGCCUCACGGCGGCACCCAGAGCAGGAUGAGCUCACCCACCCGAGGGGACGCAAGCAGGGGGGUCCGGGGCUUGAAACGAGACGUGUCUGCUGGGGGUGGCAGCAGGGGGUCACCCCCAGCCCCCCCCCCAUCCAAGCAGAGGGAGCCACGAGCACCAAGCCAUGCGCUCUGCGCCGCGAGAGCUGCAGGAGCGUGGCAACGCAGCGCCCUGGUUUGGGGGGCUCCUCGCUGCCAUCAGCACCUCCUGGGGGGGUUGAGAAUAAACUUGUAGCAGGGCCGGGACCCUCAGUGGAACCACAGGGAGGGGACAUGAGAUUUGGAGAGCCCUGGGGGGGGACAGGAGGCCUCAGGGCUGGAUGAGCUGAGCAUGCAGCCAGCCCCCUGCCACCCUGUGCAGUGCUGGGGGGGGCUCAGUGAACGGGCCUGGACCCCCUGCCCCAGCUCAGCCCCCCGGUGCAGACCCACGGGUGGGGGUCCAUGGGGGUCCCCCAUUUGCCAAGAAGCAGCUGAAGCAGGGGGGGACAGGAGCAGGGCCCCCCACGAGCCACCUUAAGCACACCCAGCGGCCCCCCCGCGCUCGCAGGCUACCUUAAUAAAAACUUUGUCGGAGCGGGGCUCCUCUCCAGCGCUCGGCCAGGCAGAGAAUCCCUCGGAAAUCCACAAAACGGGGGUCGGCUCCAAAAACUUGGGUGCCCCCCCACCCCCCCGCGCACCUCCCCAGGCGCACCCCGCGCGCGGCGGGGCCGGGCCGGGCGCACCCAUGGGUGCCACCGCGCCUCCCCCCGGCUCUCUCCUUCCCCCCUGCGGCGUGGAAAGAAAAAAAAACAAAAACCCCGAGAUCCGAGCAUCCUCGGCUGCCAGGGCGAGACAAAAGCCUCGGGAGAUGGGAGGCGAGGAAAUGUCCACCGGGAGGAGGAGGAGGAGGAGGAAGGCGGCUGCCGGGUGGGCAGCGAGCAGCCGGCGCCUGUCCCCGGCGGGUCCCCAACAGGGAAGGGAUGAGAGCAAAGAGUGCUCCAGCCCUCGUGGCAGCGCUGAGAGCUGCAGAGCCUGCCCCAAAAGCCAUAGGAUGCCGAGGAAAAUGAGUGCUGCUCUCCUGGAGAAAGCAGCUGCCAUCGCAUGGGAAAGCAGCAGACAAUCCUCACCCAGAAAGCUGUCCAGCAACAGAAACUUGUGAGACUGUUUUCAGGAGGGAAAACAGAGCUAUUUUCAGCCCGGGCAGCACUGAGCACCUCCAGGGUGAGCGAUGCUGCGGAGCUGGAAGCUGUGGAAGCUGCACCCCAAAGGAGAUGAUCCCUGAACACUGAAAUUGUCUUCUAUAAACAUAUAUGUAUAAACCUAUGUAUAAAUAUAUAAAAUUAUCCAUCGGGUAUUGCAGACAGUGAUAUCAAACACCUCCAGGAUGCUCUGGCCACUUUUUGUCGGUGGGGUUGGUGAUGGGACGAGCCCUGCCUGGUGCUACCUGGUGCCAGCACCACCCCGUGCCCAGGACCAGCACCAGCACUGCUCUCCAUGGCUGAGCUCCCUCCUGCGUGCCUUUUCCUGCUGCUCAUCCCUCUCUGGUGCCCAAGGUGUAAUUACCUCUCGUGUGUUUAAGCGCAUCUGCCACCUGGAAACCACGCAGACCCCGUACCCUCGCCUUGCCCCCCUCCACCUGCACGCAGCCCCGGAGCUAGGCGCACAGACGUUUACCCACCUGGUGUUUUCUCCCCCCCCCUGCUUGCGUCUGAGCUGCUUGACUCAAAUCUGAGCCGUUUCUCAGGGUCUGUCUCACAGCCCAGUCAACACGGAGGGAGCCGGUGCCAAAAACCCAGUUCCUUCGGAUCUGAUUGUUUGUUUUCCUCCCUUCCCAGUUUGGGAUUUUUGAAAGGGAGCCACACGAAACCAACUGCUCGCUGUUCACUGCGAAGCCUGGGGCUGCAGUUUCAAUCGUUUGCCCGAGGAUCAGGUGGAUGGAGAGGGAAUUAGCUCCUCACAACAGCCCUGCGCCCGCACACGCUGCCCCUGGGGCCGUCGGCUCCCCUAAAACCACCCCAAACACCACCCCAGCACCUCCACCUCCUGCCCCCUUCAUCCCAUGCUGCUAACACUGCUGCUGUCUCCUUACCCAAAAUAUUAACUCAAGGCAGUCUGAGACGCUUCCCAAAACCCACCCUGUGAUGCUCCUCUGCUCACAGGAGCGCCGCACGGAUCCGAUAACUUCCCACCCUCCUCCAGGUCUAUUGAUGUUA